CGGGGAUUGAACUCUGGUCCUUGCGCUUGUGCAGCAGGUGGCGAAACCGCUGAGCUAAACCCCCGGCCCCUUUGGUGAAUUUCUUUACUGCUCCCUCCGCCAAGUCUGAGUAUGCAUGAAUACUAUUCUCCAGCAGACUAAUGUUAUAAUUACUAUCUCAUUGAAGGAAACAUUGGUUGCAAUCAGACAAACAAACUUUUCUCACUUUUGAUACCAAGGACAGGAAGAUUUGUGCAGCGUGACAGUAUGAGGGUAAUAUAGAAACUCCAGUAGGCAUACAGGUUUUUAAUGGAAUCUUGGCUUUAAUGCUCUGUUAGGGAGCAGUAUCUAUAGAUUUGCCCUUCUAUUAAAACAGAUAAGCAUAUGCAGCCAGAUGAUGCAGAGAUUUUUUUUUUUUUAAAAAACGAACUAAUUAUAGUAACUUUCUGCUGUAACUUGACAACCACUUUGAGUAAACUAAAUGUAUUUCCUACUUACACUUGCAUAGAUAAUACAAGAGUUUCUCAUAUGUGCUGAGCACCUGGUUUUAAUGUCAGGAGUAGUGUGAACAAACACCUGGCCUCUUGCUAAUGACUCAGAGGUACCUUGAUUCAUGAACUUAAUUCAUUCCAUGGUUCAUGGAGUUCUGGUCAUGAACUGAAUCAGAUUUCCCCAUGUAGUUAAAUGUAAAUAAGGUUAAUCCAUUCUUACCCCUGCAAACCUGGUCGCAAACAGAUUUUUGGUCACGAACUGAGUCAAAUUUUCCCAUAAAGUUAAAUUGGAAAUAAAGUUAAUCCAUUUUGAAACACAUGUAACAUUAUUAAAUCACAGAACUAGGAAACAAAGUACUGUAUGCAGAGAGAAAAUACUAGCCUUGUUUGAAGUGACUUAGGGUCUGGAGGACAGCAAGGUCAUGGGGAGGAGGUUGUUGUUGGGAGAGAGUCCCCUCCAUAAGGACGUGGGAAGGCCUCCUUCAGGAGUUUCUUUGUCUCCUAGCUGCAGGGUCAAUUUUAAUGAAAGAUCUGCCUAAUGUCACUUGCUUUUUCCUGUGCUGUGUGACCCUCCAGAAAUGAGAGACCACAUGAUUGCUCGGCAGAUACAACAUUCUGUUUGUUAGUUAUGUUGGGCUGGUGCUUCUCAAAGAAAUCCCGGCACUCAUUCCCUUUUUCCAUGUUGCAUUUUAUCACGUCCCUGGUAACCUCCUCCCUGUCUUCCUUUUCCUCGGUGGACUGCACUUCAACAAUCACCUUCUACUGUUCACUCUGGAAUUCAACAAGUUCUUCCAUUCGCAGCUCUUCCUUAUGGCCCUCAACGAGCUCCUCUAUGUCUGCACCAUCGAUGUCCAGACCCAUCCUCUUGCCCAUGGACACAGUCUCCUCCACUGCCUGUGCAUCUGGCCCUUCAAAGCCACAUUCAGUGACACAUUCUGGCCGCAGUUUCUCCAGGCUGAUUUAGGGUCUAGUAUGUGACAUCUUCUCAGGGUUUGUCAACGCGACUGAUUCAAUACGGGAUAUUGAAAUAUUUCUUCCAGAACUCUGACGCAGGGAUGUCUCUUCAGUAACAUUAAAACACCUGGUGGAUAGCUCUUUUGUGUACAGCUUUUUGAAGUUGCAGAUCACUUCCUGGUUCAUGGGCUGCAGAAGAGGUGUUGUGGGUGGGGAAAGAACUUGAUCUUUAUGAAAUCAUACUCAGCAUCCAUAUCAUGCACUGGAGGGUAUGCUGGGGCACUGUCCAUCAGAAGAAGGCACCUUUCAGGCAGCUGGUUGUCAAAAAGAUAUUUCUUAACAAUGGAUACAAACACCUCUUGCAGCCAUUUCAUGCACAAUUACCUUGCGACCCAAGCUCUCAUGUUGGCACUCCACAUGACAAGUAGUCUGGUUCUUGUUCCCUUGAAUGCGUGAGGGAUCUUGGAAUGGUACGCCAGUAGUGGCUUCAGAUUGGCGACUGUGUUCCCACACAACAAAAGCGUCAGCCUGUCCUUCAUGGGUUUGUGCCCCAGCAGUGCAUUUUUCUCCUUCAUGAUACAGACUUUGUCAGGCAUCUUCUUCCAGAAGAGCCCUGUUUCAUCACAGUCGAACACUUGUUGAGCGAUGUAUUAUUCUGCCUCCAUGAAUUCUGUGAAUUCUUUUUUGUAGGCUUCUGCAGAAGCCUUGUCAGAAUAGAAGCCUCACCCUGUCUUAUCACACUGUGGAUGCCACUUCUCUUGCAGAAUUUAUCAAACCACCCUCUACUGUCUUUCAAUUCAUCCCUUGUUGCCUUCAUUAACAAUAACAAAACAUAACCCACAUUUAUGUUCUAGGUUCUAGUCUCAGUGUUUCAUGUGUGUUCUCUCAUUUCAUCCCUACAGCUGCCUUAUGAGGCAGGAGAGUAAGAAACAUACUGCCUUUGUGGAGUUAUUGUGAAGAUGAAAUGGAGAGAAGAAUGAAAAAUAGUCCUACCCUGCUCCUGAAAAAAAAGAAAAAAGAGGAGAAAAGAGCAUGAUUCUAAAGAAAGGCCCCAUCAAACUAUCUGAUGAGAUCAUAUUUUACAUCUUUAUGUAAGUGGCUAAAGGAUUCAAGUUUGCAGCAUUCCAAAUGAAACCUCGGGAGAGAACUCACCAGCUGCUGAGUUAAGGGUGAGUGACAGGAUUUGGGAUUAAGGAUAUCUUGUAUGCAGAACUAAAAUCCCAAUUCAUUUCCCAGUGAUUGUACAUUGAGGAGUGGCUUAAUAGCCCAGGAGGAAUGGAAUGAGCUGAAUGAGAUAAAGUGUAAUUUGGUAUCUUAGACGCUUUAAAUAUCGAAAAGACAUUUGGCUGUUCAUAGAGAAUUUUCACGUUAUUUACAUAGCUGGCCUUUGGCGGUUCCCCAAGGUCCAGUCUACACAGGUCCUAGGGUCUGUGGGCUUGGCUGGGUAUUUAUUGCUCAUACUGUUCUGCAUCCACAAGCUGUGGCUGACACCAUCUGUCUUUAGUGCUGUAGUAACUGUACACUGGAGUUUUUCUGGAAAUUUAAGACCAGUCAGUUUUUCAGCCUUCUAUGCCAUUAUCCUUGCCCAUUAAGCCAAAAUUUAAUGCUUCUCCAUAUCAGUUUUAUUGCUUGUUAUCUCCAACCCUACCUCUCAUUGUUAGCUCUACAGUACAGGUCCUUCACGUUUCUCCUUAGAGCUGGUGUGCUAUUAAGCUUUGUCAAGAGAGUGUGUAGGAGUGACAUGAAAGGAAGCGACCUUUCUCUUCCUAGUGGUGGUGUUUCAUUAACUUCCUAUUUCUGCGGCGAGAUCCAUACAGAGGUGCGCUCCCCCACCAAAUUUCAGCACGCCCCUAGGAAGAUUUCCUAGGAGUCCUGUGGGCACCCCUCUGGUCCCUUCCUCUCUCAGCCUAAGGGGUGUUUCCUGGGUUCCAGUGCAGCAGGAGAAAUAGCAACCCCAAAGAUGUCCACGUCCUAAUAUUUAGAACCUGUGACUAUGUUAUGUAAGGUUGUGGAGGAAAUUAAGGUAACUGACAGAUCAUUCUAGAUUGUCCAGAAAAAGGCAGAAAAUGGAGUCAGUGAGAGUAAUAAUGGAAGCAAUUUUAGAGUAUUGCAAUAUGAGAGCUCAACCUGCUAUUGCUGACUUUGAAGAUGGAAAGCUUUGAAGAGCUCUAGCAUGGUAGCUAGAGAUGCAGCAGCCAUCUUGUGACCAUGAAGGACCAAAAGAAUUGCAGGAGAAUAGGCCUUGUAAUUAUGAAACUCUGCCUACUCCUGCAGCCUCUCACCUCAAGAUUUCUGGGUAUAUAAAACAAAAACAAAACAGACACCACUGAUUUUCUUUAAAGUACAAUGAUUACUUGCAGCCAAAAUGAAUUCUGUUGCACCAUACUAGGAAGAAUCUGGUCGUUCUUCUCUAAGUUUUCAUUUCACAGGUGGCACAGUUUUCUAGUCCAUUGUCAUCAAAUAUUUAUUAAUUUUUGUUUGCCUGUCUCACAUUUCUAAUGGUCUGAGCUCCUUGGGGUCAAGAAAUUAAUUUUAUUGGUACACUUUUGAUAUGCAUAAUGACCACUUUUGUAGUAGGGAAUUUGUGCCUGUACAUAAUAUAUCUUGAUUCUUCAUUUUUUCCCAUUCCCUUCCCCUCUCUUCAACCCUUCUUCCCCCACUUUACAAAAAUUUUACUUCCAUUUUUUAUUUCUAUUUUUUUCCUUUUCCCUUCCCUCCCUUCACCCAUGUGAACAUUUUCUUUCCACUUCCCAAUAUCUAUCAUCCAUUUUGGUCCUUAUUUAUGCUUUCCAGUUUCACAUAGAAACAAUGUGAUAUUUAAACGUAUGGCUGAUCUCGUGGUCCAUCCAUUUACCUAAAAAUGUCUCAAAUUUAUCCUUCUUUAUGGCAGAGUAAAACAUCAUUGUAUGUAAAAACCACAUUUUCUUUAUCCUUUCAUCCAAUGAUGCUCAUCUGGGCUGUUUCCAAGAUUUAGCUAUUAAAAAUUGUGCUGCUAUAAACAUGGGUGUGCAUAUAUCACUGUGGUAUGAUACUUUUAACUUUUUUGGGAAGAUACCAAGAAGGGGAAUAGGUGGGUCAAAUGGAACCUCUAGUUUAAGUUUUUUGAGGAAUCUCCAUAUUUCUUUCCAUAUUGGCCAUUUAUCUUCCAGCAGAUUGUUUCUGUUUUAAUAUUUAGAUCUUUGAUCCAUUUUGAUUUUAGUUUAGUGCAUGUUGAGAUAUAUUGGUCUAGGUUCAAACUUCAGCAUGUACAAAUCCAGUUUCCCCAGCACCACUUAUUAAAGAGGCUGUCUUUCUCCCAGUGAAGACAUUUGGCCACUUGGUCAAAAAUAAGGUGGCUGAGUAUGUUUGGAGUUUUCUACAUCUUCUGUACUGUUCCAUUGAUCCUCAAGUCUGUUUUGUUUUGUUUUGCCA
rnacentral:lncRNA from 1 species